rnacentral:rRNA from 1 species
AGCCACCUUCGGGUGGUGGACAGUGGCAGACGGGUGAGUAACGCGUGGGAACGUGCCUUUCGGUUCGGGAUAACCCAGGGAAACUUGGGCUAAUACCGGAUACGCCCUUCGGGGGAAAGAUUCAUUGCCGAAAGAUCGGCCCGCGUCGGAUUAGCUAGUUGGUGGGGUAAUGGCCUACCAAGGCGACGAUCCGUAGCUGGUCUGAGAGGAUGACCAGCCACACUGGGACUGAGACACGGCCCAGACUCCUACGGGAGGCAGCAGUGGGGAAUAUUGGACAAUGGGCGCAAGCCUGAUCCAGCCAUGCCGCGUGGGUGAAGAAGGCCUUAGGG